AUUGAACGCUGGCGGCAGGCCUAACACAUGCAAGUCGAACGGUAACAGGAAACAGCUUGCUGUUUCGCUGACGAGUGGCGGACGGGUGAGUAAUGUCUGGGAAACUGCCUGAUGGAGGGGGAUAACUACUGGAAACGGUAGCUAAUACCGCAUAACGUCGCAAGACCAAAGAGGGGGACCUUCGGGCCUCUUGCCAUCGGAUGUGCCCAGAUGGGAUUAGCUAGUAGGUGGGGUAACGGCUCACCUAGGCGACGAUCCCUAGCUGGUCUGAGAGGAUGACAGGCCGCACUGGAGCUGGGACACGGUCCAGGCUCCUACGGUAGGCAGCAGUGGGGAAUAUUGCACAGUGGGCGCAAGCCUGAUGCAGCCAUGCCGCGUGUAUGAAGGAGGCCUUCUGGUUGUAAAGUAGUUUCAGCGGGGAGGAAGGGAGUAAAGUUAAUACCUUUGCUGAUUGACGUUACCCGCAGAAGAAGCACCGGCUAACUCCGUG
rnacentral:rRNA from 1 species